rnacentral:ncRNA from 1 species
UAAACUUUGCCACCGGGUAAAGAUUUUAAGGUGUUCUGAAACAUUCCGUUAGGUCUUAGAAGGAAUGUUGUUGGGACACCUUUUAUUU